UACGGAGGGUGCUAGCGUUGUUCGGAAUCACUGGGCGUAAAGGGCGCGUAGGCGGCUUUGGCAGUCGGCUUGUGAAAGCCCGGGGCUCAACCCCGGAGGUGCGGCCGAUACACCAAGGCUGGAGGCCGGAAGAGGAGGGUGGAAUACCCAGUGUAGAGGUGAAAUUCGUAGAUAUUGGGUGGAACACCGGUGGCGAAAGCGGCUCUCUGGUCCGGUCCUGACGCUGAGGCGCGAAAGCGUGGGGAGCAAACAGG
rnacentral:rRNA from 1 species